rnacentral:rRNA from 1 species
UACGAAGGGGGCUAGCGUUGCUCGGAAUGACUGGGCGUAAAGGGCGCGUAGGCGGCGCAGACAGUCAGAUGUGAAAUUCCUGGGCUUAACCUGGGGGCUGCAUUUGAUACGUGUGUGCUUGAGUGGGAAGAGGGUCGUGGAAUUCCAGUGUAGAGGUGAAAAUUCGUAGAUAUUGGGAAGAACACCGGUGGCGAAGGCGGCGAGCCUGGUCCUUGACUGACGCUGA